GGCCCAUCAGGUAGUUGGCGGGGUAAUGGCCCACCAAGCCGCUGACGGGUAGCUGGUCUGGGAGGAUGACCAGCCAGACUGGGACUGAGACACGGCCCAGACUCCUACGGGAGGCAGCAGCAAGGAAUUUUCGGCAAUGGGCGCAAGCCUGACCGAGCAACGCCGCGUGGAGGAUGACGGCCUUCGGGUUGUAAACUCCUUUUGGGGGGGAAGACCCUGACGGUACCCCCCGAAUAAGCCCCGGCUAACUCUGUGCCAGCAGCCGCGGUAAGACAGAGGGGGCAAGCGUUGUCCGGAGUUACUGGGCGUAAAGCGCACGCAGGCGGUCGCGCGCGUGUGGGGUGAAAGCUCUGGGCUUAACCCAGAGUCGCCCCCGCAUACGGCGCGACUUGAGCCCGGGAGAGGUCCCUCGAAUUGCCGGUGUAGUGGUGAAAUGCGUAGAGAUCGGCAGGAAGACCAAGGGGGAAGCCAGGGGACUGG
rnacentral:rRNA from 1 species